UACGUAGGGCGCAAGCGUUGUCCGGAAUUAUUGGGCGUAAAGAGCUCGUAGGCGGCUUGUCACGUCGGGUGUGAAAAGCCCCGGGGCUUAACCCCGGGUCUGCAUUCGAUACGGGCAGGCUAGAGUGUGGUAGGGGAGAUCGGAAUUCCUGGUGUAGCGGUGAAAUGCGCAGAUAUCAGGAGGAACACCGGUGGCGAAGGCGGAUCUCUGGGCCAUUACUGACGCUGAGGAGCGAAAGCGUGGGGAGCGAACAGG
rnacentral:rRNA from 1 species